CAUUGAAUUCUGCUACACUUUAAACAAAGGAUACAAAUUGCUAAGGAAAGGACAGUCUCAGCCAGCAAUAUCAAUUCUCAGAACCAGAAGAGAAACCCCAGUGCAGCAGGAAUGGAAAUGCAUCAUAUGUUGAAAUCAACUGGAAAUUGAAGCAUUAAAACCACUCUGAUUCCUAUUUGGGUGACUGCCACAUCCCUUUCCACCAAAGAGUUCAUUGGACAUCUCCGGGAUAUUCAGCCACUCCUAUAAAACAGUGACCCCCCUAAAACAAGAAAAACGAUGAAGAUGAACAACCUGAACUGGACUCCUGCCAA
rnacentral:lncRNA from 1 species